CCAGGAUGGGGGAGCCUGGUGGGCUGCCGUCUAUAGGGUUGCACAGAGUUGGACACAACUGAAGUGACUUAGCAGCAGCAGCAGCAAGGUGGGGUGGAGUCCCUUGGUAUGGCGUUCUGGUCCCCAUGGAGAUAAACUCUUCAAGAGAGCCGAAUGGCCCAGAAGCAAAAGUUAAUUUUAAAGGACCCCAGAAGCCCAAGCAAGGCACUUUAACAUCUGACAGACUGGCCAAGAAUUGAACAUGAAGAAGAAGUAAAUUGUCUCACAAAGGAGGAGGAUUACACAUGGGUAGGACUGCAGGUGACACUUCCUGCCUCUGUUCAGUGUGGCAACAAGAGAUAGUAUGGCUUUUGACCCACAGACAAAUUAAAUGCCACCUGUCAAAAAAGUGAGCUUUAUGGCUGAGUCUUUGCAGUUGUGAGAGAUGGAAAACAUUUGUGAGGAAGCAGGUACUAAGGGGAAGUCUGAAUUAAAAUGAAUUAUUGCUUGAAGGAAAGAUAAAUGCCUAUUCUGAUCGAACCUGAGGCUGGCAGUGAAUCUAUUACACGAACAUAUCAUCACUGUCUGUUUCAUUGGGUACUUCAUUUGCCCACGAAAUAAAACUUGUUUUCUCUUGAAAACCAUCUUUAAAAUUUCUGUGUGUUAGCAAAAAAAUUGGAAAUGGCCUCAAUGUCCAACAGUGAGGAAACAGUAAAUUAUGGUAUAUCCUUACGAUGGAACAUUUAUGCAGCUAUUAAAAACGAUGUUUACAAAGACUUUUAAUGCUCUGUAAAAUGCUUAUAAUAAGUCAAAAAGGAAGCAGCAUACAAAUGUCUGUAACAGCAUGGUUUUAUAUAGAAAUGAAUAAAUAUAAAGACAGUAAGCACAAAAGGAGGGAAAUGCAUCAAAAUGUUUUAAUAGUGUUUAUCUCUUGGUGGUGAAUUAUGGAUAAUUUGUAAUCCCCUCAUCUAUAGUUCUCAGUUUUUGCCAACUUUUCUGUAAUGAACAUCUAUUACUUUUUUAUUUGGAUAGAUACUUUAAAAAAUUCAACUUGCUUCGGAAAUAGUUUUCUGACUUGGCAUAUAUUACUGGCCAGAGCCACUUGAAGACAACUUUGUAAGACUAUUGUUAAGACCACCAGUACCACUGAAUUAUUUCUGGUGUAAAUGGGAAAAGGAUGCUCCAGGAGGCUACUGUUCUCAAAAAGUACUGAGAUUCCCUAGUGGCUCAGAUGGUAAAGAAUCUGCUUGCAAUGUGGGAGACCUGGGUCUGGAAGAUUCCCUGGAGGAGUGCCUGACAACCCACUUCAAUAUUCUUGCCUGGAAAAUUCCAUGGACAGAGGAGUCUGUUGGGCUACAGUCCAUGGGGUUGCCAAGAGAUGGACACGACUGAGAGACUAACACUUUCACUUUCAGAGAUAAAACAAGAUUUGUGGGAAAGGCCCCAGAGGACCAUGUGUAGGAUGGACUAGAGCACAGGUAAGGCAAGGGGGAAACCAGAAUUAGGGUGGUCUGUUGGGAAGUUACCUGUUGAUGAGACUACUGGCCUGGAUAUGUAAGUGGAGAAAGGAGUGGACUGGAAGAAGAAAUCAGUUUGCUAAAGAACAGGAGGUGCUGGGAUGAGCAAUUCCUUGGAAAUUACUGGAGGGAGGCUCAUUUGAGGAGGGUCAUGGUGUUGCAGUGGAAAUGAACUGCAUUUUCAAAGGGAUACAUUUUAGAGGACCGAGCAGAGGACAGAAUCUGGGAAAUCAAUGAAGUGACACAAAAGGGUACACCAUGGAAUGAACUCAAUUUGUGUCAAGGAAUUUUAGAAGGGAGUGUUUUAAAAGAAUUAGAUUGAAUUUCAACAUUCCUUUGAUGAAUGCUCUUUUAAACCUAGUGAAUUGGAGGACAUUUUAAGCUUAACAUUAAAGAACUCGCAAGUGGUGUUUGCAGCCGG
ensembl:lncRNA